GGUUUAUCCAGUACUGUGUUAUUCACGGUACGUUUAUUCAUGUCAUUCUAAUAAAAUAGCUGCAGUUUCCCCAACAAAUUAUUUUUCUUGAUUCAAUUUGUAUUGGUAGCUGACCAGUUAGCUAGUCAACCAUCAAGCUAACAUUAGCCGGCAGCUAAUACCACACUAUCAUAAUAUACUUCACAUAUCAAUGUCACCUUUUGGAUGUUUUCAACACCGGGACGGACGGGGUUUGUUGUAACGUCAU